CGUGGGGUCAGGAGAAGGGCUCAGUGUCCCACUGUCCUCCACUCCUUGGUCUUGCAGACCUGAAGCUAGAUGUCAAACCAGCAGCACAAACCAGCCCAGAAGUGCAUUGGAGACCGAGCCAAGCACAGAAGAGAAGAGCUCUGUGAGCCCCGCGGCUGCGGGGACCUGCGUCAGUGUGGGGGCAGCCUGCCCGGAGAGCCUGCCCCUGCUGGAUUCCAGCCCAGGCGGGGGCCCCCCAUCCCCCAGGGACCCCCCUGAGCCCCGAGUGUCCACAGAGCACACCAAUAACAAGAUCGAGAAGAUCUACAUCAUGAAGGCUGACACAGUGAUCGUGGGGACUGUGAAGACAGAGGCGUCUGAGGGCCGGGGCCCGGUGGGGCCCGUGGGGCCUGAGGCAGAGCCGGAGCCGGAGCUGGAGGUGGACCAUGUCCCGCAUUACCCAGAGCAGGAGACAGAGCCGCCCCUGGGCAGCUGCGGGGACGUCAUGUUCUCUGUGGAGGAAGAAGAACAAUGAACUUCCUGGUAUUAUCCCAGCCAAGAGCAAGAAGGGCCGAGCCACGGGUGCCAGCCGUUGUGUUAACCUAUUUAGGAGGGAAGUGGGGGGCGCUGGCCGCACCCACUGGGAGCCAGGAAGCAGUUGGAUGCGUUUUCUCAGAAGGCAGGCCGCAUUCCUGGUUCUGUCGCUGCAGGAGCCCUCCUGGAGGAUGUGCCUCAACGGUGGCCAUCAGGGUUCAGCCUCCAGUCGGCCAGUCCCCGGCAGUUCUCAA
rnacentral:lncRNA from 1 species